UACAGAGGUGCCGAGCGUUAGGCGGAAUCACUGGGCUUAAAGCGUGUGUAGGCGGAUGCCUAAGUACCUUGUGAAAUCCCACGGCUUAACCGUGGAACUGCUCGGUAUACUGGGUGUCUUGAGCCACUUAGGGGUUACCGGAACAAAUGGUGGAGCGGUGAAAUGCGUAGAUAUCAUUUGGAACGCCAAUGGUGAAAACAGGUAGCUGGGGAUGUGCUGACGCUGAGACACGAAAGCCAGGGGAGCAAACGGG
rnacentral:rRNA from 1 species